GUGAAUCAUCGAAUCUUUGAACGCACAUUGCGCCCAUUGGUAUUCCGAUGGGCAUGCCUGUUCGAGCGUCAUUAUCCUCCCUCAAACCUCGUGUUUGGUGUUGGACCGUGUUGGUCGAGCGACCAACUGGUCUCAAAGACAAUGACGGCGUCCGUGGGACCCUCGGUGCAACGAGCUUUUAACGAGCACGCGUCGAGUUUCAAGGUCCCUUCGGGCCGGUCUUGACCUCUAUCUUCUCAGGUUGACCUCGGAUCAGGUAGGAAUACCCGCUGAACUUAAGCAUAUCAAUAAGCGGAGGA
rnacentral:misc_RNA from 1 species